GCGCCGGUAGUUCAUCGGUAGAAUGUGAGCUUCCCAAGCUUGAGAGGAGGGUUCGAUUCCCUCUCGGCGCACCA
rnacentral:tRNA from 1 species